AGAGUUUGAUCAUGGCUCAGAUUGAACGCUGGCGGCAUGCUUACACAUGCAAGUCGAACGGUAACAGGUCUUUCGGGAUGCUGACGAGUGGCGAACGGGUGAGUAAUACAUCGGAACGUGCCCAGUAAUGGGGAUAGCUCGGCGAGGACAAGUUAAUACCGCAUACGCCCUGAGGGGAAAGUGGGGGACCGCAAGGCCUCACGUUAUUGGAGCGGCCGAUGCGUGAUUAGCUAGUUGGUAGGGUAAAGGCCUACCAAGGCGACGAUCAGUAGCUGGUCUGAGAGGACGAUCAGCCACACUGGGACUGAGACACGGCCCAGACUCCUACGGGAGGCAGCAGUGGGGAAUUUUGGACAAUGGGGGAAACCCUGAUCCAGCAAUGCCGCGUGUGCGAAGAAGGCCUUCGGGUUGUAAAGCACUUUUGUCAGGGAAGAAAUCCUUUGGGCUAAUACCCUAGGGGAUGACGGUACCUGAAGAAUAAGCACCGGCUAACUACGUGCCAGCAGCCGCGUAAUACGUAGGGUGCAAGCGUUAAUCGGAAUUACUGGGCGUAAACGGUGCGCAGCGGGUUGUGUAAGACAGGUGUGAAAUCCCCGGGCUUAACCUGGGAAUUGCAUUUGUGACUGCACGACUAGAGUGUGUCAGAGGGGGUGGAAUUCCACGUGUAGCAGUGAAAUGCGUAGAUAUGUGGAGGA
rnacentral:rRNA from 1 species